UACGUAGGGCGCAAGCGUUGUCCGGAAUUAUUGGGCGUAAAGAGCUCGUAGGCGGCUUGUCGCGUCGGUUGUGAAAACCCGUGGCUCAACCAUGUGGUCUGCAGUCGAUACGGGCGGGCUGGAGUUCGGUAGGGGGGACUGGAAUUCCUGGUGUAGCGGUGAAAUGCGCAGAUAUCAGGAGGAACACCGGUGGCGAAGGCGGGUCUCUGGGCCGUAACUGACGCUGAGGAGCGAAAGCGUGGGGAGCGAACAGG
rnacentral:rRNA from 1 species